GUGGGGAAUUUUGCGCAAUGGGGGAAACCCUGACGCAGCAACGCCGCGUGAGUGAUGAAGGCCUUCGGGUCGUAAAGCUCUGUCAGAGGGGAAGAAAUGCAGGGGUGCUAAUAUCAUCUUUGCUUGACGGUACCCUCAAAGGAAGCACCGGCUAACUCCGUGCCAGCAGCCGCGGUAAUACGGAGGGUGCGAGCGUUGUUCGGAAUUAUUGGGCGUAAAGCGCGUGUAGGCGGUUUGGUAAGUCUGAUGUGAAAGCCCCGGGCUCAACCUGGGAAGUUCAUUGGGAACUGGCAGACUUGAAUACGGGAGAGGGUAGUGGAAUUCCUAGUGUAGGAGUGAAAUCCGUAGAUAUUAGGAGGAACACCGGUGGCGAAGGCGGCUACCUGGACCGAUAUUGACGCUGAGACGCGAAAGCGUGGGGAGCAAACAGGAUUAGAUACCCCGGUAGUCC
rnacentral:rRNA from 1 species